rnacentral:rRNA from 1 species
CACUCCUGCGGGAAGGCAGCAGUGGGGAAUUUUGGACAAUGGGCGAAAGCCUGAUCCAGCAAUGCCGCGUGAGUGAAGAAGGCCUUCGGGUUGUAAAGCUCUUUUGUCAGGGAAGAAACGGUGAAAGCUAAUAUCUUUUGCUAAUGACGGUACCUGAAGAAUAAGCACCGGCUAACUACGUGCCAGCAGCCGCGGUAAUACGUAGGGUGCAAGCGUUAAUCGGAAUUACUGGGCGUAAAGCGUGCGCAGGCGGUUUUGUAAGUCUGAUGUGAAAUCCCCGGGCUCAACCUGGGAAUUGCAUUGGAGACUGCAAGGCUAGAAUCUGGCAGAGGGGGGUAGAAUUCCACGUGUAGCAGUGAAAUGCGUAGAUAUGUGGAGGAACACCGAUGGCGAAGGCAGCCCCCUGGGUCAAGAUUGACGCUCAUGCACGAAAGCGUGGGGAGCAAACAGGAUUAGAUACCCGUGUAGUCCC